AGGAAACCUGAAUGCAAACGUGACCUUUGGCAUUGCCAAACUACAGUGGCAGCUGGGUUCACAGCCUCCUCUUCCUCUGCCGCAUUAACGCCCACGGGUCAAGGCUGGUCCCCGGGUCCCUUCUCGCUCCUCACCCUGCAGCACACGGGAUGCAUUUGGCUGCAGUUGGAAAGGCGGGAUACCAGCACAGACCCGCUUCCUGCUAGGCCUGGUUCCCUAAGGGGUGGCAGUGGGGCCACGUGCUUCUUGGUGUGUGUCCUGAAGACGGAGAGGGGGCGAAUCUCGCUCCCCCGACCACGGAACCAGGUCAGCUUUUCAGCCUCGCUGAGCACCGGAACCUGGGGGAGUGCCAUGACCCGACUGGCGGAGUCUCACCAGAUCCCGCUCUGGAGCUGGAGUCAGAUAAAUAAAUAAACAUUUAAAGAAGGAGGAGGAGGAGGGAGAAGAAGGAUAACGCUAACAGCUAAUGCACACAGCGUUGGCCACCUAUCAGCUCAUCUAAUCACAGAACAGCCCUUACGAGGUGGGUGCCACUGUUGCCCCCUCCACAGAUGAGGAAAAUGAGACUCAGAGGGGUGGCAUAACUUGCCAGAGUCCCCAGUGGUGGCACUGGGAUGGGGAACCAGCCCAGCUACCCAGCUCCAGGUCCUGGCUCCAGAACUCCACUCCGCCCUGCCCCCCGCCCCCCACCCCGCCAGGAGCCUCAAAGUCACUGCCUUCUCUCCAAACCUGCUUCAAGCCCCUCCCCUCCUCGUAAAACUCCAACCUCCAACUCAACAUUCAGGUGUCACCUGUUGUAG